rnacentral:rRNA from 1 species
GCCUGUUUAUCAAAAACAUCGCUCCUUGAAAAAAAAUUAUAAGGAGUAGGACCUGCCCGGUGAAAUAUUUUUAACGGCCGCGGUACUCUGACCGUGCAAAGGUAGCAUAAUCAUUUGCCUUAUAAUUGAAGGCUUGUAUGAAUGGUUUGACGAGAAUAAGACUGUCUCUUUAUGAUUUCUAUGAAAUUUAUUUCUAGGUGAAGAAGCCUAGUUAAUAUUAAAAGACAAGAAGACCCUAUCGAGCUUAAAAUAAAUUAGCGAAUUAAGAUUUAAUAUUUUUAAAAAACUAAUUACUAAAAAUUUUGGUUGGGGCGACUAAGGAACAGAAAAAGCUUCCUGAAAUUUGUUAAACAAACAUGUAUUGAUCCAAAAUAUAUUGAUUAACGAAAUUAGUUACCGUAGGGAUAACAGCAUUAUCUUUUUUGAGAGUUCUAAUCGAAAAAAAGGUUUGUGACCUCGAUGUUGGACCAGAAUAUCCUAAAGAUGUAGCAGUCUUUAAGGGUUGGUCUGUUCGACCAUUAAAAUUCUACGUGAUCUGAGUUCA